rnacentral:rRNA from 1 species
AGCUUGCUCUUGAUGACGAGUGGCGCACGGGUGAGUAACGCGUAUGCAAUCUACCUAUAACUGAGGAAUAGCCCAGAGAAAUUUGGAUUAAUACCUCAUAAUAUUAUUAUUUGGCAUCAUUUAAUAAUUAAAACUCCGGUGGUUAUAGAUGAGCAUGCGUUCUAUUAGCUAGUUGGUGAGGUAAGAGCUCACCAAGGCUACGAUAGGUAGGGGGCCUGAAAGGGUGAUCCCCCACACUGGUACUGAGACACGGACCAGACUCCUACGGGAGGCAGCAGUGAGGAAUAUUGCACAAUGGAGGAAACUCUGAUGCAGCCAUGCCGCGUGCAGGAUGAAGGCCCUAUGGGUUGUAAACUGCUUUUUUACAAGAAGAAACCUUGGUACGUGUACCAACUUGACGGUAUUGUAAGAAUAAGCACCGGCUAACUCCGUGCCAGCAGCCGCGGUAAUACGGAGGGUGCAAGCGUUAUCCGGAUUUAUUAGGUUUAAAGGGUUCGCAGGCGGAAUUUUAAGUCAGUGGUGA